rnacentral:rRNA from 1 species
CUACGGGGGGCAGCAGUGAGGAAUAUUGCACAAUGGGGGGAAUCCUGAUGCAGCAACGCCGCGUGGAGGAUGACGCAUUUCGGUGUGUAAACUCCUUUUAUAUAUCAAGAAAAUGACGGUAGCAUAUGAAUAAGCACCGGCUAACUCCGUGCCAGCAGCCGCGGUAAUACGGAGGGUGCAAGCGUUACUCGGAAUCACUGGGCGUAAAGGACGCGUAGGCGGGUUGGAAAGUCAGGUGUGAAAUCCUACAGCUUAACUGUAGAACUGCAAUUGAAACUUCUAAUCUAGAGUAUGGGAGGGGGAGAUGGAAUUAGUGGUGUAGGGGUAAAAUCCGUAGAUAUCACUAGGAAUACCUAAAGCGAAGGCGAUCUCCUGGAACAUUACUGACGCUAAGGCGUGAAAGCGUGGGGAGCAAACAGGAUUAGAUACCCUUGUAGUC